AUUGAACGCUGGCGGCAGGCCUAACACAUGCAAGUCGAGCGAGCGGCGGACGGGUGAGUAAUGUAUGGGGCUCUGCCCGAUAGAGGUGGAUAACUACUGGAAACGGUGGCUAAUACCGCAUACUAUCAGAUGAACCCCUAUGGGAUUAGCUAGUGGGUGGGGUAAAGGCUCACCUAGGCGACGAUCUCUAGCUGGUCUGAGAGGAUGAUCAGCCACACUGGGACGGAGACAGGGCCCAGAGUCCUACGGGAGGAAGCAGUGGGGAAUAUUGGACAAUGGGCGCAAGCCUGAUGCAGCCAUGCCGCGUGGAUGAAGAAGGUCUUAGGGUUGUAAAGUACGUUCAGCGGGGAGGCGUUACCCGCAGAAGAAGCACCGGCUAACUCCGUGCCAGCAGCCGCGGUAAUAC
rnacentral:rRNA from 1 species